GGUUAAGCGACUAAGCGUACACGGUGGAUGCCCUGGCAGUCAGAGGCGAUGAAGGACGUGCUAAUCUGCGAUAAGCGUCGGUAAGGUGAUAUGAACCGUUAUAACCGGCGAUUUCCGAAUGGGGAAACCCAGUGUGUUUCGACACACUAUCAUUAACUGAAUCCAUAGGUUAAUGAGGCGAACCGGGGGAACUGAAACAUCUAAGUACCCCGAGGAAAAGAAAUCAACCGAGAUUCCCCCAGUAGCGGCGAGCGAACGGGGAGCAGCCCAGAGCCUGAAUCAGUGUGUGUGUUAGUGGAAGCGUCUGGAAAGGCGCGCGAUACAGGGUGACAGCCCCGUACACAAAAAUGCACAUGCUGUGAGCUCGAUGAGUAGGGCGGGACACGUGGUAUCCUGUCUGAAUAUGGGGGGACCAUCCUCCAAGGCUAAAUACUCCUGACUGACCGAUAGUGAACCAGUACCGUGAGGGAAAGGCGAAAAGAACCCCGGCGAGGGGAGUGAAAAAGAACCUGAAACCGUGUACGUACAAGCAGUGGGAGCACGCUUCGGCGUGUGACUGCGUACCUUUUGUAUAAUGGGUCAGCGACUUAUAUUCUGUAGCAAGGUUAACCGAAUAGGGGAGCCGAAGGGAAACCGAGUCUUAACUGGGCGUUAAGUUGCAGGGUAUAGACCCGAAACCCGGUGAUCUAGCCAUGGGCAGGUUGAAGGUUGGGUAACACUAACUGGAGGACCGAACCGACUAAUGUUGAAAAAUUAGCGGAUGACUUGUGGCUGGGGGUGAAAGGCCAAUCAAACCGGGAGAUAGCUGGUUCUCCCCGAAAGCUAUUUAGGUAGCGCCUCGUGAAUUCAUCUCCGGGGGUAGAGCACUGUUUCGGCAAGGGGGUCAUCCCGACUUACCAACCCGAUGCAAACUGCGAAUACCGGAGAAUGUUAUCACGGGAGACACACGGCGGGUGCUAACGUCCGUCGUGAAGAGGGAAACAACCCAGACCGCCAGCUAAGGUCCCAAAGUCAUGGUUAAGUGGGAAACGAUGUGGGAAGGCCCAGACAGCCAGGAUGUUGGCUUAGAAGCAGCCAUCAUUUAAAGAAAGCGUAAUAGCUCACUGGUCGAGUCGGCCUGCGCGGAAGAUGUAACGGGGCUAAACCAUGCACCGAAGCUGCGGCAGCGACGCUUAUGCGUUGUUGGGUAGGGGAGCGUUCUGUAAGCCUGUGAAGGUGUGCUGUGAGGCAUGCUGGAGGUAUCAGAAGUGCGAAUGCUGACAUAAGUAACGAUAAAGCGGGUGAAAAGCCCGCUCGCCGGAAGACCAAGGGUUCCUGUCCAACGUUAAUCGGGGCAGGGUGAGUCGACCCCUAAGGCGAGGCCGAAAGGCGUAGUCGAUGGGAAACAGGUUAAUAUUCCUGUACUUGGUGUUACUGCGAAGGGGGGACGGAGAAGGCUAUGUUGGCCGGGCGACGGUUGUCCCGGUUUAAGCGUGUAGGCUGGUUUUCCAGGCAAAUCCGGAAAAUCAAGGCUGAGGCGUGAUGACGAGGCACUACGGUGCUGAAGCAACAAAUGCCCUGCUUCCAGGAAAAGCCUCUAAGCAUCAGGUAACAUCAAAUCGUACCCCAAACCGACACAGGUGGUCAGGUAGAGAAUACCAAGGCGCUUGAGAGAACUCGGGUGAAGGAACUAGGCAAAAUGGUGCCGUAACUUCGGGAGAAGGCACGCUGAUAUGUAGGUGAAGCGACUUGCUCGUGGAGCUGAAAUCAGUCGAAGAUACCAGCUGGCUGCAACUGUUUAUUAAAAACACAGCACUGUGCAAACACGAAAGUGGACGUAUACGGUGUGACGCCUGCCCGGUGCCGGAAGGUUAAUUGAUGGGGUUAGCGGUAACGCGAAGCUCUUGAUCGAAGCCCCGGUAAACGGCGGCCGUAACUAUAACGGUCCUAAGGUAGCGAAAUUCCUUGUCGGGUAAGUUCCGACCUGCACGAAUGGCGUAAUGAUGGCCAGGCUGUCUCCACCCGAGACUCAGUGAAAUUGAACUCGCUGUGAAGAUGCAGUGUACCCGCGGCAAGACGGAAAGACCCCGUGAACCUUUACUAUAGCUUGACACUGAACAUUGAGCCUUGAUGUGUAGGAUAGGUGGGAGGCUUUGAAGUGUGGACGCCAGUCUGCAUGGAGCCGACCUUGAAAUACCACCCUUUAAUGUUUGAUGUUCUAACGUUGACCCGUAAUCCGGGUUGCGGACAGUGUCUGGUGGGUAGUUUGACUGGGGCGGUCUCCUCCUAAAGAGUAACGGAGGAGCACGAAGGUUGGCUAAUCCUGGUCGGACAUCAGGAGGUUAGUGCAAUGGCAUAAGCCAGCUUGACUGCGAGCGUGACGGCGCGAGCAGGUGCGAAAGCAGGUCAUAGUGAUCCGGUGGUUCUGAAUGGAAGGGCCAUCGCUCAACGGAUAAAAGGUACUCCGGGGAUAACAGGCUGAUACCGCCCAAGAGUUCAUAUCGACGGCGGUGUUUGGCACCUCGAUGUCGGCUCAUCACAUCCUGGGGCUGAAGUAGGUCCCAAGGGUAUGGCUGUUCGCCAUUUAAAGUGGUACGCGAGCUGGGUUUAGAACGUCGUGAGACAGUUCGGUCCCUAUCUGCCGUGGGCGCUGGAGAACUGAGGGGGGCUGCUCCUAGUACGAGAGGACCGGAGUGGACGCAUCACUGGUGUUCGGGUUGUCAUGCCAAUGGCACUGCCCGGUAGCUAAAUGCGGAAGAGAUAAGUGCUGAAAGCAUCUAAGCACGAAACUUGCCCCGAGAUGAGUUCUCCCUGACCCUUUAAGGGUCCUGAAGGAACGUUGAAGACGACGACGUUGAUAGGCCGGGUGUGUAAGCGCAGCGAUGCGUUGAGCUAACCGGUACUAAUGAACCGUGAGGCUUAACCUU
rnacentral:rRNA from 1 species